GACGUAGGUGGCGAACGUUAUCCGGAAUUAUUGGGCGUAAAGGGUGUGUAGGUGGCGCCGUAAGUCGGGUGUGAAAUUUCGGAGCUUAACUCCGAAACUGCAUUCGAUACUGCGGUGCUUGAGGACUGGAGAGGAGACUGGAAUUCAUGGUGUAGCAGUGAAAUGCGUAGAGAUCAUGAGGAAGACCAGUGGCGAAGGCGGGUCUCUGGACAGUUCCUGACACUGAGACACGAAGGCCAGGGGAGCAAACGGG
rnacentral:rRNA from 1 species